UCACAUUCUGAUCACUGGAAGUGUGAGGCAGGAGCACUGACUGCUUUACCAUCAUCCCGUCCUCUGUUGCGUGAUGCUUAAUUGGCAGAUCACCACACAGUGAUCUAUCUUAAACACUUUGGGGUCCAUCCUGCAGGGAGACACAAAAAUCUCCUACGAAGGCGAGAAGCAGGGAAGCCUUCAGUACCACAACCUGAAUGAUCAACGGUAGGGAGUUAUUAAAGAGGAAAUAACACAGGACUAUCCACAAGAUGGCGCCAGAGAGUCAAACUCUUCAGCCCUGUUUGGGUGAAGGCAAAUCGUUCUGGAUGUAUGAAGAAUGUGCAGAAUGUGAUCCUAUCAAAAUAAACCAUCCACGGGAGAUUCCACCUGGCCCUGUUGACAUCACUUCCGGGUCCGAGCCUAUGAAGGAACACCUUGUCGGCUCCAGCCCCUUUAAUGUCACGCCCGGGUUCAAAUCUAUGGCUGAAGACCUUCAUGAGCCCAACCCAUCUGACUUCACUGCCCGUCUUCCCCUUUAAGAGCCUCCAUCUUUCCCUUAUUCCCUCAGUUCUGUUUUAGACUCGGCUUUGUGCACAUCAGUGCUGUAUAAGAUAUUCACGAUUUUGCAGCCAGGAAACUAAUUAUACAGGUGGCUGACCCAAAACUUGCUAUGGCUCUGUACAUGUUUAACAAUUAUAUUAAUAAA